rnacentral:rRNA from 1 species
UCCUACGGGGGGCAGCAGUGGGGAAUAUUGGACAAUGGGGGGAACCCUGAUCCAGCGACGCCGCGUGAGUGAAGAAGUAUUUCGGUAUGUAAAGCUCUAUCAGCAGGGAAGAAAGAAAUGCCGGUACCUGACUAAGAAGCCCCGGCUAACUACGUGCCAGCAGCCGCGGUAAUACGUAGGGGGCAAGCGUUAUCCGGAUUUACUGGGUGUAAAGGGAGCGUAGACGGCGAUGCAAGUCUGGAGUGAAAGGCGGGGGCUCAACCCCCGGACUGCUCUGGAAACUGUACGGCUGGAGUGCAGGAGAG